rnacentral:rRNA from 1 species
UGCCCAUAAGAGGGGGGAUGACAUCCGGAAACGGGUGCUAAUACCGCAUAGUUUUCUUGAUCGCAUGAUCGGGAAAGGAAAGACGGCCUUUGUGCUGUCGCUUAUGGAUGGACCCGCGGCGUAUUAGUUAGUUGGUGAGGUAACGGCUCACCAAGACGAUGAUACGUAGCCGACCUGAGAGGGUGAUCGGCCACAUUGGGACUGAGACACGGCCCAAACUCCUACGGGAGGCAGCAGUAGGGAAUCUUCCGCAAUGGACGAAAGUCUGACGGAGCAACGCCGCGUGAGUGAAGAAAGGUUUUCGGAUCGUAAAACUCUGUUGUCAGAGAAGAACAAGUUGGAGAGUAACUGCUCCAGCCUUGACGGUAUCUGACCAGAAAGCCACGGCUAACUACGUGCCAGCCGCCGC